rnacentral:rRNA from 1 species
GGUUAAGCGACUAAGCGUACACGGUGGAUGCCCUGGCAGUCAGAGGCGAUGAAGGACGUGCUAAUCUGCGAAAAGCGUCGGUAAGGUGAUAUGAACCGUUAUAACCGGCGAUGUCCGAAUGGGGAAACCCAGUGUGUUUCGACACACUAUCAUUAACUGAAUCCAUAGGUUAAUGAGGCGAACCGGGGGAACUGAAACAUCUAAGUACCCCGAGGAAAAGAAAUCAACCGAGAUUCCCCCAGUAGCGGCGAGCGAACGGGGAGGAGCCCAGAGCCUGAAUCAGUGUGUGUGUUAGUGGAAGCGUCUGGAAAGGCGCGCGAUACAGGGUGACAGCCCCGUACACAAAAAUGCACAUGCUGUGAGCUCGAUGAGUAGGGCGGGACACGUGGUAUCCUGUCUGAAUAUGGGGGGACCAUCCUCCAAGGCUAAAUACUCCUGACUGACCGAUAGUGAACCAGUACCGUGAGGGAAAGGCGAAAAGAACCCCGGCGAGGGGAGUGAAAAAGAACCUGAAACCGUGUACGUACAAGCAGUGGGAGCCCUGAUUUAUCAGGGUGACUGCGUACCUUUUGUAUAAUGGGUCAGCGACUUAUAUUCUGUAGCAAGGUUAACCGAAUAGGGGAGCCGGAGGGAAACCGAGUCUUAACUGGGCGUUAAGUUGCAGGGUAUAGACCCGAAACCCGGUGAUCUAGCCAUGGGCAGGUUGAAGGUUGGGUAACACUAACUGGAGGACCGAACCGACUAAUGUUGAAAAAUUAGCGGAUGACUUGUGGCUGGGGGUGAAAGGCCAAUCAAACCGGGAGAUAGCUGGUUCUCCCCGAAAGCUAUUUAGGUAGCGCCUCGUGAAUUCAUCUCCGGGGGUAGAGCACUGUUUCGGCAAGGGGGUCAUCCCGACUUACCAACCCGAUGCAAACUGCGAAUACCGGAGAAUGUUAUCACGGGAGACACACGGCGGGUGCUAACGUCCGUCGUGAAGAGGGAAACAACCCAGACCGCCAGCUAAGGUCCCAAAGUCAUGGUUAAGUGGGAAACGAUGUGGGAAGGCCCAGACAGCCAGGAUGUUGGCUUAGAAGCAGCCAUCAUUUAAAGAAAGCGUAAUAGCUCACUGGUCGAGUCGGCCUGCGCGGAAGAUGUAACGGGGCUAAACCAUGCACCGAAGCUGCGGCAGCGACGCUGAUGCGUUGUUGGGUAGGGGAGCGUUCUGUAAGCCUGUGAAGGUGUGCUGUGAGGCAUGCUGGAGGUAUCAGAAGUGCGAAUGCUGACAUAAGUAACGAUAAAGCGGGUGAAAAGCCCGCUCGCCGGAAGACCAAGGGUUCCUGUCCAACGUUAAUCGGGGCAGGGUGAGUCGACCCCUAAGGCGAGGCCGAAAGGCGUAGUCGAUGGGAAACAGGUUAAUAUUCCUGUACUUGGUGUUACUGCGAAGGGGGGACGGAGAAGGCUAUGUUGGCCGGGCGACGGUUGUCCCGGUUUAAGCGUGUAGGCUGGUUUUCCAGGCAAAUCCGGAGAAUCAAGGCUGAGGCGUGAUGACGAGGCACUACGGUGCUGAAGCAACAAAUGCCCUGCUUCCAGGAAAAGCCUCUAAGCAUCAGGUAACAUCAAAUCGUACCCCAAACCGACACAGGUGGUCAGGUAGAGAAUACCAAGGCGCUUGAGAGAACUCGGGUGAAGGAACUAGGCAAAAUGGUGCCGUAACUUCGGGAGAAGGCACGCUGAUAUGUAGGUGAAGCGACUUGCUCGUGGAGCUGAAAUCAGUCGAAGAUACCAGCUGGCUGCAACUGUUUAUUAAAAACACAGCACUGUGCAAACACGAAAGUGGACGUAUACGGUGUGACGCCUGCCCGGUGCCGGAAGGUUAAUUGAUGGGGUCAGCGCAAGCGAAGCUCUUGAUCGAAGCCCCGGUAAACGGCGGCCGUAACUAUAACGGUCCUAAGGUAGCGAAAUUCCUUGUCGGGUAAGUUCCGACCUGCACGAAUGGCGUAAUGAUGGCCAGGCUGUCUCCACCCGAGACUCAGUGAAAUUGAACUCGCUGUGAAGAUGCAGUGUACCCGCGGCAAGACGGAAAGACCCCGUGAACCUUUACUAUAGCUUGACACUGAACACUGGUCCUUGAUGUGUAGGAUAGGUGGGAGGCUUUGAAGUGUGGACGCCAGUCUGCAUGGAGCCGUCCUUGAAAUACCACCCUUUAAUGGCUGGUGUUCUAACGUUGGCCCCUUAUCGGGGUUGCGGACAGUGUCUGGUGGGUAGUUUGACUGGGGCGGUCUCCUCCUAAAGAGUAACGGAGGAGCACGAAGGUUGGCUAAUCCUGGUCGGACAUCAGGAGGUUAGUGCAAUGGCAUAAGCCAGCUUGACUGCGAGCGUGACGGCGCGAGCAGGUGCGAAAGCAGGUCAUAGUGAUCCGGUGGUUCUGAAUGGAAGGGCCAUCGCUCAACGGAUAAAAGGUACUCCGGGGAUAACAGGCUGAUACCGCCCAAGAGUUCAUAUCGACGGCGGUGUUUGGCACCUCGAUGUCGGCUCAUCACAUCCUGGGGCUGAAGUAGGUCCCAAGGGUAUGGCUGUUCGCCAUUUAAAGUGGUACGCGAGCUGGGUUUAGAACGUCGUGAGACAGUUCGGUCCCUAUCUGCCGUGGGCGCUGGAGAACUGAGGGGGGCUGCUCCUAGUACGAGAGGACCGGAGUGGACGCAUCACUGGUGUUCGGGUUGUCAUGCCAAUGGCACUGCCCGGUAGCUAAAUGCGGAAGAGAUAAGUGCUGAAAGCAUCUAAGCACGAAACUUGCCCCGAGAUGAGUUCUCCCUGAGACUUUAAGUCUCCUGAAGGAACGUUGAAGACGACGACGUUGAUAGGCCGGGUGUGUAAGCGCAGCGAUGCGUUGAGCUAACCGGUACUAAUGAACCGUGAGGCUUAACCUU